rnacentral:rRNA from 1 species
UACGUAGGGGGCAAGCGUUGUCCGGAAUCAUUGGGCGUAAAGAGCGUGUAGGCGGCCCGAUAAGUCCGCUGUGAAAGUCCAGGGCUCAACCCUGGGAUGCCGGCGGAUACUGUCGGGCUCGAGUCCGGAAGAGGAGUGUGGAAUUCCUGGUGUAGCGGUGAAAUGCGCAGAUAUCAGGAAGAACACCCGUGGCGAAGGCGGCUCUCUGGGACGGUACUGACGCUGAGACGCGAAAGCGUGGGGAGCGAACAGG